rnacentral:rRNA from 1 species
AUUGAACGCUGGCGGCAGGCUUAACACAUGCAAGUCGAGCGGAGUGAUGGUGCUUGCACUAUCACUUAGCGGCGGACGGGUGAGUAAUGCUUAGGAAUCUGCCAUUUAGUGGGGGACAACAUUCCGAAAGGAAUGCUAAUACCGCAUACGUCCUACGGGAGAAAGCAGGGGAUCUUCGGACCUUGCGCUAAAUGAUGAGCCUAAGUCGGAUUAGCUAGUUGGUGGGGUAAAGGCCUACCAAGGCGACGAUCUGUAGCGGGUCUGAGAGGAUGAUCCGCCACACUGGGACUGAGACACGGCCCAGACUCCUACGGGAGGCAGCAGUGGGGAAUAUUGGACAAUGGGCGGAAGCCUGAUCCAGCCAUGCCGCGUGUGUGAAGAAGGCCUUUUGGUUGUAAAGCACUUUAAGCGAGGAGGAGGCUACUAGUACUAAUGCUACUGGAUAGUGGACGUCACUCGCAGAAUAAGCACCGGCUAACUCUGUGCCAGCCGCCGCAGUAACAC